UCGAACGGUGAAGCCCUUCGGGGUGGAUCAGUGGCGAACGGGUGAGUAACACGUGGGCAAUCUGCCCUUCACUCUGGGACAAGCCCUGGAAACGGGGUCUAAUACCGGAUACGACACACGACCGCAUGGUCUGUGUGUGGAAAGCUCCGGCGGUGAAGGAUGAGCCCGCGGCCUAUCAGCUUGUUGGUGGGGUGAUGGCCUACCAAGGCGACGACGGGUAGCCGGCCUGAGAGGGCGACCGGCCACACUGGGACUGAGACACGGCCCAGACUCCUAACGGGAGGCAGCAGUGGGGAAUAUUGCACAAUGGGCGAAAGCCUGAUGCAGCGACGCCGCGUGAGGGAUGACGGCCUUUCGGGUUGUAAACCUCUUUCAGCAGGGAAGAAGCGAAAGAGUGACGGUACGCAGAAGAAGCGCCGGCUAACUACGUGCCAGCAGCCGCGGUAAUACGUAGGGCGCAAGCGUUGUCCGGAAUUAUUGGGCGUAAAGAGCUCGUAGGCGGCUUGUCACGUCGGAUGUGAAAGCCCGGGGCUUAACCCCGGGUCUGCAUUCGAUACGGGCAGGCUAGAGUUCGGUAGGGGAGAUCGGAAUUCCUGGUGUAGCGGUGAAAUGCGCAGAUAUCAGGAGGAACACCGGUGGCGAAGGCGGAUCUCUGGGCCGAUACUGACGCUGAGGAGCGAAAGCGUGGGGAGCGAACAGGAUUAGAUACCCUGGGUAGUCCACGCCGUAAACGUUGGGAACUAGGUGUGGGGCGACAUUCCACGUCCUCCGUGCCGUAGCUAACGCCAUUAAGUUCCCCGCUGGGGAGUACGGCCGCAAGGCUAAAACUCAAAGGAAUUGACGGGGGCCCGCACAAGCAGCGGAGCAUGUGGCUUAAUUCGACGCAACGCGAAGAACCUUACCAAGGCUUGACAUACACCGGAAACGUCUGGAGACAGGCGCCCCCUUUGUGGUCGGUGUACAGGUGGUGCAUGGCGUCGUCAGCUCGUGUCGUGAGAUGUUGGGUUAAGUCCCGCAACGAGCGCAACCCUUGUUCUGUGUUGCCAGCAUGCCCUUCGGGGUGAUGGGGACUCACAGGAGACUGCCGGGGUCAACUCGGAGGAAGGUGGGGACGACGUCAAGUCAUCAUGCCCCUUAUGUCUUGGGCUGCACACGUGCUACAAUGGCCGGUACAAUGAGCUGCGAUACCGCGAGGUGGAGCGAAUCUCAAAAAGCCGGUCUCAGUUCGGAUUGGGGUCUGCAACUCGACCCCAUGAAGUCGGAGUUGCUAGUAAUCGCAGAUCAGCAUUGCUGCGGUGAAUACGUUCCCGGGCCUUGUACACACCGCCCGUCACGUCACGAAAGUCGGUAACACCCGAAGCCGGUGGCCCAACCCCUUGUGGGAGGGAAUCGUCGAAGGUGGGACUGGCGAUUGGGACG
rnacentral:rRNA from 1 species